UCGGGAAUUUUGGGCAAUGGGCGAAAGCCUGACCCAGCAACGCCGCGUGAAGGAUGAAGUAUUUCGGUAUGUAAACUUCGAAAGAAUGGGAAGAAUAAAUGACGGUACCAUUUAUAAGCUCCGGCUAACUACGUGCCAGCAGCCGCGGUAAUACGUAGGGAGCAAGCGUUGUUCGGAAUUACUGGGCGUAAAGGGCGCGUAGGCGGCCAUCUAAGUCAGACGUGAAAUCCCCCGGCUUAACCUGGGAACUGCGUCUGAUACUGGACGGCUAGAGUAUGGGAGAGGGAUGUAGAAUUCCAGGUGUAGCGGUGAAAUGCGUAGAUAUCUGGAGGAAUACCGGUGGCGAAGGCGGCAUCCUGGACCAUUUACUGACGCUGAGGCGCGAAAGCUAGGGGAGCAAA
rnacentral:rRNA from 1 species